rfam:Stegodyphus mimosarum contig124629, whole genome shotgun sequence.
GCCUUCGUGGUGUAGUGGUCAGCACGCUGGCCGCGUAUUCCAGAGGUCCGUGGUUCGAUUCCCGGCGAAGGCG